CACCGGUCCACCCCAUCCCCUUUCCCGCAUGCGGUAUUGCGGUUACACACGCUACGUGCGGUCUAUGUUGUCCACUUGACCCCGCCGUUCCCCUCAUAUCAUCUCUCCACGGGAACCCAUAAACCUAGAAGGCGGCCGCCGCCGCAACCUCAACCGGAGAUGAGAUGCUCCCUCGCCGGAGCGUGCCGCCUGUGGAUGGAGUAUGGGGAGGCUAGACGGCGCGCUGGUCGCUGACCUCUAUUGUCGGCCUCUGUCGAUCUGUGACGGACGGCAAACUGGGGGAUGAAAACGAUAUUUUGCUUCGAGCUUGGAGUCUAGACAAAUCUUGGAUGAUGAAUGGUUUUGUGGAUAAGUGAAGUUACGCGUGGAGAAUUGCAUUAUUUUACAAGAUAACUUGAAAUGUUGUGUGUAAGGUUUUCCGUUAUCUUCCUUCAUGUGUUUUCUCUGGGUUGAUGAUAUUCGUUUCUAGAUUCUCUCCUUCAAUAUGGUAUUGUGUUUUCUCUUCUCACAAAAUGGAAGUGUCGCCAUCGUACUAUGCUCAAUAUAUUUGUAGUUUGUAUUUUAUAUGUUUUACCUCUGUCUUGGUUCUUUAUUACAUUUAUAUUUUCCAUUUUUUGCCACAUUCUUCUGUGGUUAAUGCGAAUGAGGCCUUGAUUGCAGUUCUACUCCCCAAUUGAUAACAAAACCAAUUAAUAGAAGUACUAAAACUCGUACUGUAUGCAGAACCAUUGACCUAUGUUUCUCUCUUUUUAUCUAAAACAAUAUCUAUGUGGUGAUCCUAACACAAGGUUCUUCUGCAUGCAUGAGGUGUGAUGGUGUUCUCCCUUCCUGCAUCUGUAUAAUAUGUGCAUGUAGUGAUCCUAACACAAUGUUUUUCUCUAUAGCAUGAGGUGUGAUGCCAUUUUCCCUUCCAGUCAUCUGCGUAAUAUGUGCAACCAAAGGAGACCUCCAAGGGCAAACACCCCACUCAACCAGCUAAAGCUGAAAGGCCAGCAGAACUUCCAAGUGCAAACAUCUCACCUCAGGGAGUUGUGCCAAGUGCAAACAUCUCACCUCAGGGAGUUGUGUACAGUAAAUCUAUCAACCGGUUGGUUCAGUUGCAAGCAUAGUGCAAGUCCAUGGCUUAGAUUUCACAAUAAGAAAGGUGAACCUUGGCACCGUAAGAGUACCAGCAUAGAGUUCCACCGGUCGUGAUGACAUCUGUGAAGGCAAACUCAACAUAUAUGUAGGGCACGUCAUCGCUGACUUUUCGUACUAUCCAGGUGCCACCAAGCCAGCCAGCUCCUAGACAAAACCAGUUUAAUAGCGCACCAAGCACUCUAGGGCCAUUGAGUGCUAAUGUUUAAUAGCAGCUCCAGGGCUCAUGGCACAAAGAUCACUCAAGCAAACUCGCAACAAUCGUACUUGAAAGGUUAGAAAUAGUAAACAUGUUACAAAAUAUAGGAUUGUAUUUGUCAAAGUAUGCAGGCAUCAAGACAGGAAGAUGGAUGAUCACUAGCGAGGAGGCAAGGAAUCUGUUUUCAGUUAUACUUUUGCAGUUUUCCCCUGGCUUACUUUUUCCAAUCAUUCAAUAACACUUUUAACUAUGUUUUUUGCAUUCCAAAUUCAUUGGCUGCUGGUUCCAUAAGUAGUUUGGUGGGCUCUGGUUACAUGACAUAUCUGUUAAUUUAACGAGGUGAAUGCGUGGUGCUGUGUGAAGUCAUGUAUUUUGACCAGGUGAAUUUGGGAAGCUGUCUGGAAGUACUGCAAGUUGACCAGGUGAAUUGGGGAAGCUGUCUGGAAGUACUGCAAAAACAUGGUCUUCAGUGUUGUUAUACUCCUACAAGGCACUCUAGGGAGCCGUGGUCAAUACAGUUUGAGAGCUCUAGUGAAGUAAUUGCUGUUCUAAUUUGUCUGCCGGGAUCAUGUUUUCUGUUUUGACUGAAAUACAUAUUCUGACUACUGUUUUGAUGCUGAAA